rnacentral:tRNA from 1 species
GCCUGGGUGGCUCAGUCGGUUGAGCGUCCGACUUCAGUUCAGGUCACGGUCUCACAGCUUGUGGGUUCGAGCCCCGCGUCGGGCU